rnacentral:lncRNA from 1 species
UUUGAGAGAGAGGUCAAUUCAAAAAAUUAAGGCUUCGUUUGGUUCGGGUAUAAGCAAGAACUAGUUAUACCGGGGAUAGGUACAAGAAUGGAUUUUCGUAGGAACAAGGGUAUUUUUUUCUUUGGAUGAAAAUAUGAGUGUAAGCUGGAACUAGAAAAAUUGUGUUUUGAUGAAAAUCUGAGUAUAAGGUGGAAUAGUUGAUAGUUAUAGAUAGAAAAUAAUAAUUUUACCUCUAUAGUUGAAUUUAACAUUUUAAACUAAUAAUUUUAAAUUAAAAAUUUUAACUUUUAAAUUUUAAAUUUUGAAAUUAAAAUUAAAACUUAUAAUUUUCUAAACUUAAAUUUUAAAUAUCAAAUUUUAAAUUUAAGAUCAAAUUUAAAUUUGAAAGAUAUAAAAUAUAAAAUUUUAAAUUUUAAAUCUAAAAAAUUAAAUUUAAAGAUUAAAAAUUACAAAUAUCAAAUUUAUAAUUUAAACAUUAAAAUUUAAAAUUUAAAAUUAUAAAUUUAAAUUUUAAAAAACUAAAUUUUAAAUUUUAAAAAUUAAAAUUAAAAUUAAAAAUCUUUCUCUCUCUCUCUCUACCCGGAAGGGGUGGAUCAAGUGUUCCACCCCUUGUUCCACCCCCUCAAAUUGUAUUUGGGUACAAGAGGGGGGAUAACCCCCUCAUCCCUCGUCUUGUACCCAUUCAAAAUGGGGUGUAAAAGUAAGGGGCCUUUUUAGAGAUUUCUAUAGGUGGGGGGUCUAUAUACAUUUAAAAUUUAAAAUUUAAAAUUUCAAUAAAAUUUAAAUUUUAAAAUUUGAUAUGUGAAAUGUGAAAUUUUAAAUUUUAAAUAUGAAAUGUGAAAUUUAAAAUUUAAAAUUUGAAAAUUAAAAAUUUAAAUAUAAAAAUCUAAAUUUAAUUUUAAAAUUUUAAAUUUUAAAAUUUGAAAUCUAUGUUGAAAUUUAAAAGUUAAAACUUGAUGCAUUUUUGCCCNUAUGAGAUUUGAGAUUUGAAAUUUUAAAUUUCAAAUUUAAAAUUUAAAAUGUAAAAGUUAUAAUUUGAAAAUUAAAGUUUGAAAUUUGAAAUUUAAAAUUUAAAAUUUAAAAUUUGAAAAUUAAAAUUUGAAAAUUGAAAUUUAAAAUUUAAAAUUUGAAGUUUAAAAUUUGAUAUUUGAAAUUUGAAAUUUGAAAUUUUAAAUUUAAAUUUUUAAAUUUAAAUUUAAAAUUUAAAAUUUGAAGUUUAAAAUUUGAUAUUUGAAAUUUAAAAUUUAAAUUUUAAAAACUAAAAUUUAAAAUGAAAAUUGAAAUUUAAAAUUUAAAAUUUAAAAAUUAAAUUUGAAAAUUAAAAAUUGAGAAUUAAAAAUUGAAAUUAUAAAAUAUAAAAUUUGAAAUUUAAAAUUUGAAAUUUAAUAUUUGUAAAAUAAAUUUAAAAUUUGAUAUUCAAAAAAUUAAAAUUUGAAUUUAUAAAUUUAGAAAAUUUUAAAAUUUAAAAUUUGACAUUUAUAUUUUGAAAUUAAAAAAACUAAUUUUUGGUAAUUAAAAUUUAAAAUUCAAAUUUUAAAUUUUAAAAUAAAAAUUUGAAUAUAAAUUAAAUUAUAAAAUUUAAAAUUUGAAUAUAAAUUAAAAUUAUAAAAUUUAAAAUUUCAAAUCUAUGUUGAAAUUUAAAAUUUUAUGUUGGAAUUUAAAAGUUAGAACUUGAUGCAUAUUAGUCCAAGAAUGAUGAAAUUAUUUUUUUUUUGUUAGAGCAAAUUAUAAUUUUACUCUAUUUUGUGGAGUAUAGUUUAAGUAUACUUCAAAAUUUACGUCAUUUUUUUGAAGUGUAGCAUAUGUUUU